ACUACUGGAAACGGUAGCUAAUACCGCAUAACGUCGCAAGACCAAAGAGGGGGACCUUCGGGCCUCUUGCCAUCGGAUGUGCCCAGAUGGGAUUAGCUAGUAGGUGGGGUAACGGCUCACCUAGGCGACGAUCCCUAGCUGGUCUGAGAGGAUGACCAGCCACACUGGAACUGAGACACGGUCCAGACUCCUACGGGAGGCAGCAGUGGGGAAUAUUGCACAAUGGGCGCAAGCCUGAUGCAGCCAUGCCGCGUGUAUGAAGAAGGCCUUCGGGUUGUAAAGUACUUUCAGCGGGGAGGAAGGGAGUAAAGUUAAUACCUUUGCUCAUUGACGUUACCCGCAGAAGAAGCACCGGCUAACUCCGUGCCAGCAGCCGCGGUAAUACGGAGGGUGCAAGCGUUAAUCGGAAUUACUGGGCGUAAAGCGCACGCAGGCGGUUUGUUAAGUCAGAUGUGAAAUCCCCGGGCUCAACCUGGGAACUGCAUCUGAUACUGGCAAGC
rnacentral:rRNA from 1 species